CAUCCCUUAUACUCUAAUAACAAUGGACGAAAGUGAUAUCGGUCUCUUCAUGAAAUCUCUGUGCAAGUAUUAAUGCACUCUCAUUUAGCCAUUCCCAAAAAAAUAACAAGUAAAAAUCGACUGCCUUCUCACAUCUGUGCCUUCGGAAUCCGAAAGCCCCAAGCCUCCACAAAACGCCAUCAUCCCCUCUUUCCUCCCAAGCGACAAUUCUCAUUUUCGUUCAAUCCGAAAACAUUCUUGAGCUCCACCCCUUUUCAUAAUCAACUUCGCGAGCUCUUCCCCCUUUCUUCCUUAUUCUGCAACCGUCGACCAUCGAAUCUCCAUCAUCUCCUUCUUCAGCCUCGUCUGUUCUUGCUUUGUCGCUCCACAAAUGGCUGCUUCCAAUCUUAAGCCUUCAGCAGAAGAUCUUCCUUACUGCUUUUCUCAAGUGUGUUCAAUCUGUUGACCUUCUGGUGUUUGACGCUCAGUUUUUGCUUGAUUGCCUCGACCGCUUCUGUGAAUGUGCGACUCUAGAGAUUGCUAACAGAGUGGAAGCCUCAAGAUUGGUGUGCCAUCGAAGGACUCAUUCGAGACCCACACCUAAUCCUAGCCGCUUAACAGCAAAAUCAGCCUAUGAAAUGUUGAGAGAUUUCAGGGCUGAUGGAGACGAGAGAAUUGCUAGCAGAAAGAGCUGAGAACUUCCUGAUUUCCUUGAAGCAGAGGUUCUUAGGUUUAACUCAAGUAAUCUCAUUAUAUACGUUAUCCCACUGUCAAUUAAGUGAUGAUUAAGUGAUGAUUAACCUUGGCUAAAUUGAGGAAUCAAUAAAAUAAUCCCACAUGGGUUUCAGUCU